GAGUUUGAUCCUGGCUCAGGAUAAACGCUGGCGGCGUGCCUAACCCAUGCAAGUCGAGCGAUCUGUAGCAAUACAGAGAGCGGCGGAAGGGUGAGUAACACGUAGAAAUCUGCCUCGUCGGAGGGAACAACCCCGCGAAAGUGGGGCUAAUACCCAAAAGCAUCCGCAAGGAUGAGAGUCGAAAGGCCUGACGAGAGGAGUCUGCGGCCCAUCAGCUAGUUGGUGAGGUAAGAGCUUACCAAGGCUACGACGGGUAGGGGGUCUGAGAGGACGUCCCCCACACUGGAACUGAAACACGGUCCAGACGCCUACGGGUGGCAGCAGGGAGGAAUAUUGGUCAAUGGGGGAAACCCCGAACCAGCAACGCCGCGUGAGGGAUGAAGGCCUUCGGGUCGUAAACCUCUUUUAAGGGAGACGAGAAAGGACGGUAUCCCUGGAAUAAGUCACGGCUAACUACGUGCCAGCAGCCGCUGU
rnacentral:rRNA from 1 species